rnacentral:rRNA from 1 species
GACGAACGCUGGCGGCGUGCUUAACACAUGCAAGUCGAACGGACAGGCCCUGCUUUUGUGGGGUGCUCGAGUGGCGAACGGGUGAGUAACACGUGAGUAACCUGCCCUUGACUUUGGGAUAACUUCAGGAAACUGGGGCUAAUCCCGGAUAGGAGCUCCUGCUGCAUGGUGGGGGGUGGAGAGUUUCGGCGGUUGGGUAGGGAGUCGCGGCCUCUCCGCUUGGUGGUGGGGUAGCGGCUUACCAAGGCUGUGACGGGUAGCCGGCCUGAGAGGGUGACCGGCCACAUUAGGACUGGAAUACGGCCCAGACUCCUACGGGAGGCAGCGGUGGGGAAUAUUGCACAAUGGGCGGAAGCCUGAUGCAGCAACGCCGCGUGCGGGAUGACGGCCUUCGGGUUGUAAACCGCUUUCGCCUGUGACGAAGCGUGAGUGACGGUAAUGGGUAAAGAAGCACCGGCUAACUACGUG